rnacentral:rRNA from 1 species
UAUUAGCCUUGAACUUUUCCUCCCUACUGAAAGUGCUUUACAACCCUAAGGCCUUCUUCACACACGCGGCAUUGCUGCAUCAGGCUUGCACCCAUUGUGCAAUAUUCCCCACUGCUGCCUCCCGUAGGAGUCUGGGCCGUGUCUCAGUCCCAGUGUGGCUGAUCAUCCUCUCAGACCAGCUACGGAUCGUCGCCUUGGUGAGCCAUUACCUCACCAACAAGCUAAUCCGACAUAGGCUCAUCUAUUAGCGCAAGGCCCGAAGGUCCCCUGCUUUGCCCCGUAGGGAUUAUGCGGUAUUAGCCUGGUUUUCACCAGGUUGUCCCCCACUACUAGGUAGAUUCCUAUGCAUUACUCACCCGUCCGCCACUCGACGCCUGCUAGCAAGCUAGCAUCGUUUCCGUUCGACUUGCAUGUGUUAGGCAUGCCGCCAGCGUUCAAUCUGAGCCAUGAUCAAACUCUA